rnacentral:rRNA from 1 species
CCGCCGGCGACCGGCGCACGGGUGAGUAACACGUAUGCAACCUGGCCGUGACAGAUGGAUAACCGGGAGAAAUCCCGCCUAAUACAACAUAAUGCCGGGAGGGGACAUCCCCUGCCGGCCAAAGGGGGCGACCCCGGUCACGGAUGGGCAUGCGGCGCAUUAGGUAGUUGGUGGGGCAACGGCCCACCAGGCCGACGAUGCGUAGGGGUUCUGAGAGGAAGGUCCCCCACAUUGGAACUGAGACACGGUCCAAACUCCUACGGAAGGCAGCAG